GAAAUGCGAUAAGUAAUGUGAAUUGCAGAAUUCAGUGAAUCAUCGAAUCUUUGAACGCAGCUUGCGCUCCUUGGUAUUCCUUGGAGCAUGCCUGUUUGAGUAUCAUGAAAUCUUCAAAGUAAAUCUUUUGUUAACUCAAUUGGUUUCUACUUUGGUAUUGGAGGUCUUUGCAGCUUCACACCUGCUCCUCUUUGUUCAUUAGCUGGAUCUCAGUGUUAUGCUUGGUUCCACUCGGCGUGAUAAGUUAUCUAUCGCUGAGGACACUGUAAAAGGUGGCCAAGGUAAAUUCAGAUGAACCGCUUCUAAUAGUCCAUUGACUUGGACAAUACUUUUAUGAUCUGAUCUCAAAUCAGGUAGGACUACCCGCUGAACUUAAGC
rnacentral:misc_RNA from 1 species